rnacentral:pre_miRNA from 1 species
UUGUUUGCCGAUGCGGUAUCAUCAAGAUUCACAUGCCCAACUUCCUUGGCUUCCAUCUGUGUCAUUCUUCUUUAAACUUUUUCGGGUUAUGAAAAAACCCGAAAAAAUGAAGAAAAAAAGAAUAGUUGAUGGAGGAGGCCAAGAAGAAGGAAAAAUAUGUGAGAAUCUUGAUGAUGCUGCAGCGGCAAUAAA